rnacentral:rRNA from 1 species
CACCACAACAGGUGGAGCCUGCGGUUUAAUCGGACUCAACGCCGGGAAACUCACCAGAUAAGACAGCUGAAUGAUAGUCGGGCUGAAGACUCUACUUGACUAGCUGAGAGGAGGUGCAUGGCCGUCGUCAGUUCGUACUGUGAAGCAUCCUGUUAAGUCAGGCAACGAGCGAGACCCACGCCAACAGUUGCCAGCUCGUCCUCCGGGAUGGUGGGGACACUGUUGGGACCGCCUCUGCUAAAGAGGGGAAGGAAUGGGCAACGGUAGGUCAGCAUGCCCCGAAUUAUCUGGGCUACACGCGGGCUACAAUGGGUGGGACAAUGGGUAUCGACACCGAAAGGUGAAGGCAAUCUCCUAAACCCAUCCGUAGUUCGGAUUGUGGGCUGCAACUCGCCCACAUGAAGCUGGAAUCUGUAGUAAUCGUGUCUCAAAAUGGCACGGUGAAUAUGUCCCUGCUCCUU